UACGGAGGAUGCGAGCGUUAUCCGGAUUUAUUGGGUUUAAAGGGUGCGCAGGCGGCGUGUCAAGCAAGCGGUAAAAUAGCGGGGCUCAACCCCGUCGAGCCGUUUGAACUGGCGCGCUUGAGUUCAGGCGAGGUAGGCGGAAUUCGUGGUGUAGCGGUGAAAUGCAUAGAUAUCACGAAGAACUCCGAUUGCGAAGGCAGCUUACCAGUCUGCGACUGACGCUCAGGCACGAAAGUGUGGGCAUCGAACAGG
rnacentral:rRNA from 1 species